rnacentral:rRNA from 1 species
GAGACCUACAAGUCGAGCAGGGUCGAAAGACGGACUUAGUGAUCCGGUGGUUCCGCAUGGAAGGGCCAUCGCUCAACGGAUAAAAGCUACCCCGGGGAUAACAGGCUUAUCUCCCCCAAGAGUUCACAUCGACGGGGAGGUUUGGCACCUCGAUGUCGGCUCAUCGCAUCCUGGGGCUGUAGUCGGUCCCAAGGGUUGGGCUGUUCGCCCAUUAAAGCGGUACGCGAGCUGGGUUCAGAACGUCGUGAGACAGUUCGGUCCCUAUCCGUCGUGGGCGUAGGAAAUUUGAGAGGAGCUGUCCUUAGUACGAGAGGACCGGGAUGGACAUACCUCUGGUGUACCAGUUGUCGUGCCAACGGCAUAGCUGGGUAGCUAUGUAUGGACGGGAUAAGUGCUGAAAGCAUCUAAGCAUGAAGCCCCCCUCGAGAUGAGAUUUCCCAACUUCGGUUAUAAGAUCCCUCAAAGAUGAUGAGGUAAAUAGGUUCGAGGUGGAAGCGUAGCGAUACGUGGAGCUGACGAAUACUAAUCGAUCGAAGACUUAAUCAA